rnacentral:rRNA from 1 species
UCCAACCAAUGUGAACGUUACCAAACUGUUGCCUCGGCGGGAUCUCUGCCCCGGGUGCGUCGCAGCCCCGGACCAAGGCGCCCGCCGGAGGACCAACCAAAACUCUUAUUGUAUACCCCCUCGCGGGUUUUUUUAUAAUCUGAGCCUUCUCGGCGCCUCUCGUAGGCGUUUCGAAAAUGAAUCAAAACUUUCAACAACGGAUCUCUUGGUUCUGGCAUCGAUGAAGAACGCAGCGAAAUGCGAUAAGUAAUGUGAAUUGCAGAAUUCAGUGAAUCAUCGAAUCUUUGAACGCACAUUGCGCCCGCCAGUAUUCUGGCGGGCAUGCCUGUCCGAGCGUCAUUUCAACCCUCGAACCCCUCCGGGGGGUCGGCGUUGGGGAUCGGCCCUCCCUUAGCGGGUGGCCGUCUCCGAAAUACAGUGGCGGUCUCGCCGCAGCCUCUCCUGCGCAGUAGUUUGCACACUCGCAUCGGGAGCGCGGCGCGUCCACAGCCGUUAAACACCCAACUUCUGAAAUGUUGACCUCGGAUCAGGUAGGAAUACCCGCUGAACUUAAGCAUAUCAAUAAGGCGGAGGAA